rnacentral:rRNA from 1 species
UCCGUAGGGUCCGAGCGUUGUCCGGAUUUAUUGGGCGUAAAGAGCUCGUAGGCGGUUCCGUAAGUCGGAUGUGAAAACUCGGGGCUCAACCCCGAGACGCCAUCCGAUACUGCGGUGACUUGAGUCUGGUAGGGGAACACGGAAUUCCUGGUGUAGCGGUGAAAUGCGCAGAUAUCAGGAGGAACACCAAUGGCGAAGGCAGCACUCUGGGACGUGACUGACGCUGAGACGCGAAAGCGUGGGGAGCAAACAGG